rnacentral:tRNA from 1 species
GCCGGGGUCGCUUAGUCUGGUAUGGCGCAGGCCUGGAGAGCCUGUGAUCCCUUUGGAUCGCAGGGGUUCAAAUCCCCUCCCCGGCGCCA